rnacentral:rRNA from 1 species
CCUACGGGAGGCAGCAGUGGGGAAUUUUGGACAAUGGGCGAAAGCCUGAUCCAGCAAUGCCGCGUGAGUGAAGAAGGCCUUCGGGUUGUAAAGCUCUUUUGUCAGGGAAGAAACGGUGUGGGCUAAUAUCCUGCACUAAUGACGGUACCUGAAGAAUAAGCACCGGCUAACUACGUGCCAGCAGCCGCGGUAAUACGUAGGGUGCAAGCGUUAAUCGGAAUUACUGGGCGUAAAGCGUGCGCAGGCGGUUUUGUAAGUCUGUCGUGAAAGCCCCGGGCUCAACCUGGGAAUUGCGAUGGAGACUGCAAGGCUUGAAUCUGGCAGAGGGGGGUAGAAUUCCACGUGUAGCAGUGAAAUGCGUAGAGAUGUGGAGGAACACCGAUGGCGAAGGCAGCCCCCUGGGUCAAGAUUGACGCUCAUGCACGAAAGCGUGGGGAGCAAACAGGAUUAGAUACCCUGGUAGUCCACGCCCUAAACGAUGUCUACUAGUUGUCGGGUUUUAAUUAACUUGGUAACGCAGCUAACGCGUGAAGUAGACCGCCUGGGGAGUACGGUCGCAAGAUUAAAACGCAAAGGAAUUGACGG